GCCGGAUGAAAUUUGAACAAUAUAAUCAAUUGAUUUACCCAACCCAAGACCUAAUAUUCCAAAUUCCAAAUUCCCAAAUUUCCCAAUCCCAGACCGUGCGUUGGUGAAUGGUGCACUGAAUCUUCUCCAAUUUUACUUUCCUCUCCGGUCUUCCUCUUCUCGGCUUCUCCUCUCUCUUUGUCAGUUUUCCUCAAUUUCUCUUCCGGUCUUCGAUUCUUCGGUCUCCCCCGAUUAGGCGCUUGCUGGCUGCUGUAGAUACUCCGUACUCGGAUACAGGACGGGAGUCACGGGACCUCACCUCUCCACUCCUUAGUCAGGCUCCAUAAAAAUGGUAUGUAUUUACCAUGUUUGGAUUAAUCAUUAAUGGAUUUGUAUUUCUUAGAACAUGGGUUUCAGACUCCAAGUUUAUACUUUGUAAAUUGUAGUAUUUUGAUUUUAUUUUUUGCAAAUUGGUAUGGAAUCCAUGGAUAAAUAAUGGAUUUGAUUCAGUGAUUCUUCUAAAAUAUGUUUGGCAGUAUUAGUUUGGAUAAUUUGAUUCAAUGUUAGUGACUCUUCUAGCUUGGUUAUUUUUUGAAUAUAGUAUAAUUGGUAUUUAUUUAUAUAAUGAAUUUGUUUUUUAACAGUCAUGAGCCAUGAAGAAAUAUUUUAAACGAAAAUCCAUAUGUUCGAGUAGAGAGGAAAUUAUUGUUGAAACGAGUGUUCAAAAAGAAAAAGAUGGCCGGAAAGAAUCAAGUACUGGGAGUAAAAGAGAUGUUGGGGAUAAAAUUGAUUUAGAACAACUACCCUCGGAUAUUGGAUUGCGAACUCCAAUUGUGAGUUACAGUAUUAAUGUUCAAGGUGAAAUUAGAAGAGCAUAUGUACAAAAGGGUCCAGGUUAGCUUCGAAAUCACUUGUGUCCAUAGAAAGAAUUUGUAGAUUUUUUGUUAAGACGAUUUAAAACUUUUCGGUUUUAUGAUUUUCCUGAUUGGUUGGAAUACAACAUAGCAAAAGAUGCCCUAUUUUGCUUUUAUAUUACCUUUUCAAACCAAAUUAUGAAGAACAUGGUGGUGGUGAUUCUUUUGUUGAUGGAUGGUUCUCGAACUGGAAAAAGAAAGGAAGGCUUCAAAUUCAUGUUGGGAAAAGUGGCAAUGCACACAACCAAGCUCGAAUUAAGUAUGAGGCUUUUGUGAAUUAGAAACAAAAUAUUGAUUGUAUUCUCUUUAAGAAGUCUAAAAGAACAAAAGAUGAGUAUCAAAUUCGUCUGAAUGCAUAAAUUGAUUGCGUUCGAUGGCUUCUACAACAGGGGCUUUCAUUUCGUGGGCAUGACGAAUCUGAAGAUUCAAUAAAUCAAGGAAGUUUUCUUGAACUAUUACAGUGGUUAUGUGAUCAUAAUAAGGAAAUUAAUGAUGUUUCUUUGAAGAAUGCUCCCGAAAAUCUUCAGUUAACAUCACCUCAAAUUCAAAAGGAUAUUGUGAGUGCUAUUGCAUUUGAAAAAUUUAAUGUUAUUAUGAAGGAUAUUGGUGAUGGGUUGUUUUCUAUUCUUGUUGAUGAAUCUCAGGAUGUAUCAGUGAAUGAGAAAAUGUCAGUUGUUCUACGUUAUGUGAAUCAAAAAGGACAAGUCGUGGAAUGUUUUAUCAGUGUUGAACAUGUCUCUAGUACCACAACUUUUUCACUGAAGGAUUCUAUUGAUCACUUGUUCUCUAGAUUUAACUUGAGUAUAUCUAGUUUAAGAAGUCAAGGUUAAGAUAGGGCUAGUAAUAUGUGAGGUGAGUACAAUGGUCUCAAAGCACUUAUUUUGAAAGAGAAUUCUAGUGCUUUCUAUAUUCAUUGUUUUGCUCAUCAGUUGCAACUAGCUCUUGUAGUUGUGGAAAACAAGCAUGCAAAUAUUAAAACUUUCUUUACUUUAGCGAAUAAAGUGGUAAAUGUCGUUGGCGGA
rnacentral:lncRNA from 1 species